rnacentral:rRNA from 1 species
UAGGGAAUCUUCCACAAUGGACGCAAGUCUGAUGGAGCAACGCCGCGUGAGUGAAGAAGGGUUUCGGCUCGUAAAGCUCUGUUGUUAAAGAAGAACGUGGGUAAGAGUAACUGUUUACCCAGUGACGGUAUUUAACCAGAAAGCCACGGCUAAAUACGUGCCAG